CAAAGGCCUACAUCGAAGAAAAUAGCCCCCACCCGCGUAAGCACUAGCUUUAUCCAUCCCCACUUUCACUUUAAUUCAACAUUUGCAGCUGUGCUGUCACCUCCCCAUAAUUAUCCUUCAACAAACACCCUCAUCUCCACACCCACCGCAUUCAAACCAAACCCCAGACCUGUCACAAGUUGAUCUGAAACCCUCAGCGGAUCGAGCCGAUCGGAACCGAUCAAUUGUAUUGUUUCAAUCUUUUUCGCAACAGCCCAACAGGUGGUUUCCCUGUAACAACCUAGACUAUCUUGAUCCGAAGUCUAGUAUGCUUAUCUGAUCAUUGCUCGCCUCCAUCCGCAGCUCAAACCUCUUGAUCUUCUCAAUUUUUCUCUCAGCAAAUUGAGCCAUGUGCUUCUCCAUGUCAAAAAGCUUACACCACAACGUCUCGGUGUCCAAUCUACAACUCCAAGGUACGAAUGAUUUCGGCUCCAGGCCCCGGUCGGAUUCUCAAGUGGCAGCUGGGCGAGUUAAUGAGACAUUGCAGGAGCUAUGAUUUAGUGAAGUUGGGAUUUUCGGUAACAACUUCGUGUCCGGGAUUAGUUUUUAGUUGAUUAAUCUUGGUUUUUGAUAGUUGUGGAUGAUGUUGUGGAUAUGAGUUUAUGUAGAUUUAAAUUAUUCCAGUUCGGCUAGUUAUCGUUGUAUGAUUAUAAUUGGUUGCUAAGUUUAGUUGAAUUAUUUUCUGAAUUGGCAUCUGGCCAGCAUACCAACAUCCGUGAUGAAGUGUUAAGACUGAAGUAUUAAUUGUAUUGCAUUUUGGGAAGUGAAGUAUUAAUCCUGAGAAAUUCCGAUCUAGUUGUAUUGGGUCUUUUAAUUUUUUGAUAUGGAACGGCAUCCUUUUGGAUUAAUAAGGAAAAAAAGGCAUAUUCAAAUUCGAGUCAAUAAAACCAGUCAGUACUCUGUUCCCAAAAGUUUGGUAUUACACAUUACACUGCAAGCAACUAAGCUCAACCAACUUCAACCGAACUCAUGGCAGAAUGAUUAAGAUAGAAUGCGAGAGUGAUUGAUCGGAGGUCCAGUCGUGAUAAGCAUUUGGGUACUGUGUAUCUUAUGGUACCCAGUCCCUAAUUGCUUAUAAGAAGAUGAAAAUUUAGUUUGUUUCACUGGAUACACAUUUGAGGAAAACGUAUCAGAGGAUACGCAUUUCCGAAAUGCGUAUUCAGUAGGUGUAAAUGGCCAUUUUUUUCGGAUUUGGUAUUUUUGUCUGUCUAUUAUAUAAAAAAAGGUAAUUUUGUCCGUCAGCCAUUAAUAAAAUGUUCUGCAUUAUAUGUGUACAGUGUAUGUUCUAUUAAAUUGCUGCUUUUUGUGGACUGAUUUGCAGUACAAUAAACUUAACUUCCAAAUAUGCUAUUUUUUUCUUCGAAAAAAAUGUAAAUGUAAAUUGAUAUUGUGCCACGUUAGCGGACUUAUUUUAGUAUGUGGAACAUUCAGUGUAUUUUUGUUGCUUGCUAAUGGGUUGUUCUUAUGAAAUCAUCGCAGGAGCUCUUAUUGUAGAUCGAACACCAAAAUGUUGUUGUGUAAGCUUCUUUGACAUCGGGGAAGCACAUGGCUCAACUUGUUGUGAGACAAAUUGAGAAUGUGAAGAAGCUUGAAUUGCUGAUGGUGACGGACAAUGAUCCAUUGAGCAUAUUAGACUACCGAUCGAGAUAGCUUAGGCUGUUGCAGGGAAGAUGCUGAAGAACACCUGUUAGGCUGUUGUGAGAAAGAUUCAAAUUAUACGAUAAGUCUUCCGUUAUCGACUCAAUCCACAGAGGUGUUUCUUUUAAAUCUGGUUGUUCGACAGAUUUAUGAACCCAAGAUAUUCUAAGGAUCUUAUGAAUGUAGAAAGUUCAUGAUUUUGCAAAUCACAAACCAAGCUGUGCAGAUUUGGAGUGAGCCAGGUAAUAAUUCCAUGUAAAUGAUUGAAAUCGAAGCUGAGGGACCGGAGAUGAGUAAAAGCUGUACGGAGAGCUACAAGCUGGUUGUGACAGGCCUUCUCCGGUCAUAUCUCCUCUUAGCUUGUCACAGGUCAGAGCCGGAAAUGUGUAGUAGCUACAUGAUGUUGCAGCAGAGCAUGGUCAUCAUGACUGAAACUAGCCACAAGCAUUUUACAAUUCUCUCAUUUCAGCAACUCUAUAUCACAUAAAUUCAUGUAUCAGCUGGCCCAAAUAUUUUGUAUUAUUGUCAGGGCUAGCAGAGUGGACAAAGCUGUAUUGCUUUUAAUAUCAAAUUACAAUUCUCUAUUUUUAAGGUA